rnacentral:lncRNA from 1 species
GUAUAAGGCUUUACAACAUUCCUUCUUAGCCUUCACCUUUGUUUGUACCUCCUCAUUCCACCACCAAGAUUCCUUUUGUUGUGGAACAAAGCCCUUGGACUCUCCUAAUACCUCUUUUGCUACUUUUCGGAUACAACUAGCCAUGGAAUCCCACAUUUGGCUAGCUUCCCCCUCUCUAUCCCACACACAUUGGGUGAUUACUUUCUCUUUGAAAAUGGCUUGUUUUUCUCCUUUUAGAUUCCACCAUCUAGUCCUUGGGCACUUCCA